CGCUUUGCACAGUGGCAGUAUUGUAGCUAAUGAGGUUUAUCCGAGGUGCAAUUAUUGCUAAUUGAAAAAUUUCCCAAUACCUCGCCAUGACGACUUGAAAUAUAGACAGCAUCAGCAAUUUUUGAUGGUCUCUACGGAGA
ensembl:snRNA U4 U4 spliceosomal RNA